CAGGCCUAACACAUGCAAGUCGAGCGGAGAUGAGGUGCUUGCACCUUAUCUUAGCGGCGGACGGGUGAGUAAUGCUUAGGAAUCUGCCUAUUAGUGGGGGACAACAUUCCGAAAGGAAUGCUAAUACCGCAUACGUCCUACGGGAGAAAGCAGGGGAUCUUCGGACCUUGGGCUAAUAGAUGAGCCUAAGUCGGAUUAGCUAGUUGGUGGGGUAAAGGCCUACCAAGGCGACGAUCUGUAGCGGGUCUGAGAGGAUGAUCCGCCACACUGGGACUGAGACACGGCCCAGACUCCUACGGGAGGCAGCAGUGGGGAAUAUUGGACAAUGGGGGGAACCCUGAUCCAGCCAUGCCGCGUGUGUGAAGAAGGCCAUAUGGUUGUAAAGCACUUUAAGCGAGGAGGAGGCUACUGAGACUAAUACUCUUGGAUAGUGGACGUUACUCGCAGAAUAAGCACCGGCUAACUCUGUGCCAGCAGCCGCGGUAAUACGGAGGGUGCGAGCGUUAAUCGGAUUUACUGGGCGUAAAGCGUGCGUAGGCGGCUUUUUAAGUCGGAUGUGAAAUCCCCGAGCUUAACUUGGGAAUUGCAUUCGAUACUGGGAAGCUAGAGUAUGGGAGAGGAUGGUAGAAUUCCAGGUGUAGCGGUGAAA
rnacentral:rRNA from 1 species